rnacentral:lncRNA from 1 species
AAUCCUGUUCUGAGUGGCAAGGGUGCAGGAAAUGCCAGCCAGGAUCUCAGAGCGCUGGAUUCAAACUCUGAGAAACACACAGCUGGGAGUCAGACCGAAAUUCUGGCUGCCAUUCUGCUGAUGGAAACACCUAGUCAACUGAUCUGUUUGGCCCUGUAGAGAGAGCAGGCUCACGGGCACAGCUCAGGUCUAGUCACCCCAGGGGUGGUAAAUGGUAAAUGGUUAGCUUCGGCUGCCUGUAAUACUUGGCAUAGGAGCCUUACAACACCCCAAAGGCCAUCAGUUCAUUUUUCUGGGUUUCAUGGUGCCCCCGACUGAGCUUAACCUUUACUUGCUUCUGCAGGUCCCAGUUGUGAGGCCCAUGCUUCCACUGGCUGUGUUGUAUGCCCCAGGGGUCCCCAAGCUAUGGGAACGCGUCAUUCAUGCUGGUUAUUAUUGCUGUUACUGUUACCUCGAAGAACCCCCGGAGAAGGAUGGUGCUAACAAACUCACCGUCUCCUCAGCUCUGCUCCACGGCUGUGUCCACCCCCCCCCCAUCUCUCCAUGCCUGGACACAUGCCUGCACCUUCCAACUGCUCUUCCAUGGCUCAUCCUGGCCUCUGCUUCUGCUGCUUCGUUCACUUGGUGCCCACCCUCUGGUCUCUACCAAUCAAUCACCCCUCAGCUUUCAGGAUUCCACGUCCCCAGGAAAACUUUUCUCAGGGCCCCCGAGAAGCUCUAAGAGUGGUGCUUUUGCUUCUCGAAUUGGUGGCACUUAUGUAUCGGAGCAUGUGUGUGUUUGGUAAACCAAUGAAUGAAAGUGACCUUGGGCAAAAUAUUUCCUUUCUGGGACUCAGUUUCCUCCCUUUAAAUCAAGGGCCUCAAACUCAGUGGGCCAUGUACUGAAGGGCCAGUCAUUCUCUGGGCAACUAGCUAGGGCUGCCAAAGCAGGAGUCUGAGCUUAGGGUUGCAGGCAUGGGGAGGAAUAAGAGCCCCUCACACUAGCAGUGCAUGGGGAACUGCUUUUUUCAGACAGGAUCUCAUUGUGUAGCCCUGGCUGGCCUUGAACUUGCUAUGUGCCUAAACCGGACUCUGAGUGUUCUAGGGGACACAGUACAUUUGUCCUGGAGAUCCUCUCUUGCUUUGGGGUGCUUGUUCAGUCCUGGGAUCCUCUUCUCACCAAGUGAGUGAAGCAAUGGGGAGUAGUGAGCCUUUUAUACCACCCAAGCAACACCCAUGCUAGCACCUUCCCCCAAUCUCUCCCAGGCAGGAGCUUGUCAUGGUCCUGGAGGAAGGCUUUUCCAGUCAGUAGUGUGUAGAUGAUCUGAACCACUGCUUGGAUAAAGGUUUCAUUUUUUCUCAACUGAAGCUGUUACCCUGGAGAAUCAGAAGACAGAGACUGUAGGCCAUAGGAACACCACUGGGAGACAAAAGGCUUCCACAAAGUGAGGACAAAUUGAAUUGUCUCAGCAAUUUCCCUGGUGAGUGCCAAGUGUCCCCCUUGGUGUGUGCUCUGCUCCCCCCCUCUCAGUUUCUCCCUGGAGAACUCCCCAAUUGCUUCCUGGGGGUGAAAACAGAUUUGCAGCUUCCCCAGGCACAAACUGUUUUAAGUCCCCUCCUUUUUAAACCCACACUGUGCUGGGCUGGACCUGCCCAACAUCGAACCCCUCUACAGCUGACUCACACACGCUGAGUGUGUGCCUGGCCUCAGCACCCCUGGGGCUCAGCUUCUCCCUACCCCU